UACAGAGGGGGCAAGCGUUAUUCGGAAUUAUUGGGCGUAAAGGGCGCGUAGGCGGCUUUGCAAGUGACGGGUGAAAGCCCUCGGCUUAACCGAGGAACUGCCUGUCAGACUGUAAGGCUUGAGACCGGGAGAGGUGAGUGGAAUUCCCAGUGUAGCGGUGAAAUGCGUAGAUAUUGGGAGGAACACCAGGGGCGAAGGCGGCUCACUGGACCGGAACUGACGCUGAGGCGCGAAAGCGUGAGGAGCAAACAGG
rnacentral:rRNA from 1 species